AAAACUUUUCCAAAAUAAAGAAAAUCUGUUCUUAUCAGUUUAAUAUCUGAUACGUCCCCUAUCUGGGGACCAUAUAUUAAAUUGAUUUUUGGAAUAGGGAGAUGGAAUAGGGGCUGGGGCUUGCUCCGUCCACUCCACGCCGACCUGGAUGGCAGUACCUCCAGGAACGGUGCACCCCCU
rnacentral:snRNA from 1 species